rnacentral:sRNA from 1 species
ACGCCUUGUAUUUGCCCGCAGGAACCAGC